UUCAAGCUGUUUUCCUGUUUGCAAGAGUUCGUUCAGAUUUCGAGGGAGGGGCCGGAAAGUCAAAGAUUCUCGCCGCCUGACAAACCCAAUGAGCUGAAUACAUUUGAAAGAGAAUGUUGUUCCUAAUCUCGUAACCAGAUUCUACCGUUUUACAGUAACUGAAAUGCCAUGGAAGGUCUACUAACUAUGCCUAAAUCUCAAAGAAAUGCGAAAUAUGUGUAUCAAGGCGCCCAAGCUCCCGGAUAUAUUCCCUCCGCCUGCAAGAGAGGAUUUGAUCACUAAUUCAUAUUUCAGACCAAAUUCCGUUACAUUUCCUACUUUGAACUAACGCAUGGUCCCUAGUCCGAAGUCUAGAAUUUUUCACAGCCGACUUAGCAAAGCCGCUUCCUGAGCAAUUCGGUUUGAGUCGUUAUUUUUCGACACCGGAAGCUUGUUUGAACGUGACUGACCGUCGCAUGAUCAAAGGAAAAUUUUACUCGUGAGCUAAAUCGUGUGGAAGACGAUUUCCUCAAAGGUGACGGCAUAUACCUGUAAAUUAUUCUCAUCCAAUGCCCGUAAUGGUUAAUUAGAGGAUAAAGAAAACUUUGGAAGUCAAAGCGGGGUUGGUUCGGGAAUGACCCAAAGGAUCAAGAUGAACUCUCCAGCAGUGACAAAAAACCCAGGAUUCUUUUACUGGGCCUCAGAAGUGGUAUGUUUUUAGGAUGGUUAUAUGUGUGGAGGCCUUGGGAAAGCUCCAUAUGACUGUAACAAGAGCAUACAAGGAUUCCUAACCUCUGGACUGGUUCAGGGACAUGAAACUUUAUCUAAUAUGUAGGUCCACCUGUGUAUUUUGAGACUAAUGGAGGCCAUGAAUAUGAACAUCCUUCUGGACAAAACAAGAUUUGUGGCUCAACAGGCUACGGGUCCUUUUCUUCAGUACAAAAAAUCUACAGUGCUUCACUAGCUGAUACCUGAGGGAUCCAAGAUAGCUAUGUCGGCAUGUUCUUGGUCAGAUGACUAUUUCAGCUGGCUUGAACCUAGCAGGGAGAACUCAUGUUGUUGUAUAAAGUACACAGUUAACGACACGUGUUUCCAUUCAACAGUAAUGCCACAUAACUCAACUAAUACAACAACUCCAGCACCUCCUGUCAUCUGGUACCGUUUGUCUUCUGUAAUGCAACCUGAGUAGUUGAUGAUGAUUUCUGCAAACCGUGCCUGAAUUUAAGCCAAAAGGGUUGGAGACCGACCCCCAAGCAGUGCGAUAAGUUCCUGCCAUUUAAUCUCAAGGAUAACCCAGAGACAAAAUGCACCAAAGGGGAUCAUGCAGCAUAUGGUGAUGCUCUCCGGCUUGGGGACAAAAAUGAUGAGUACCCUACCCAGGCCUCUUACUUUAUGUUCUACCACACAAUCCUGAAAACGUCACCAGAAUACACAGCAGCUUUGAAGAGCGUACGUAAAAUUGGAAAGAACAUCUCAAAGACACUUGGUGUGGAAGUGUUCCCAUACAGCGUAUGUACGUUUUCUACGAACAAUACCUUACGGUUGAAAAGGAAACUUGAGAAAAUCUUUUGUAUUGUGCAGCUCAGUUUAUUAAAUUUCAGAUCUGGCUGCCACCUUCGUUGUGACCUUCCUUCACUUGGGAUUCAAUCUGAGUAUAGUGAUCAUUGUGACCUUUACAGUGGCUCUCAUCAUUUUCAAUUUGAUGGGUCUGAUCUACAUUUGGAACAUUUUUCUAAACGCCGUCUCACUUGUUAACGUUGUAAUGUAUGUAUAAAUAGCUGAGGGUUUUAAAAAAGCAGAGUUAAAUGUUUGAAUACAGGUUAAACUUACAGUAUACGCAAAUUGGUCAGGCAGGUGAGUGCCAAUUUCCCGCACUAAGCUUAGGAAAAUUAUCGCAAACAACUGCUUUCAAGCAAAAUUUACGAAUAUAAAUUGAAACAUUCAUACAAACUUUAAAAGCAAAUAAGAAAAAGGAGGAGGCAUUAUUGCGAAUUCACAUUACGAGGCAUUAUUGCGAAUAUGCCUAUUCAGGUGUUACUCACACUCUGCAGUUCAAAACUGAAGUUCGUUGCGAUGAUAAAACCAAAAAAUAAAAAAAAAAUCGGAUCCAAACGAUCUCAUUCCUUGCUGGUUUUGUUUCGACUAAGUGUGUUUUGACACAUACUUUUUGACAAACCAUUGUCCUUUAUUAGUUAUUUUAUAACCAAGACAAUUUUGUUUUCAUCAUAGGCGUUGGGUAUAUCAUGAGUAGAGUUUUGCUCGCAUAUUGCGCGGGCGUUUACCGUUAAUUCACAUCCCUCACGAGUAGAAAGAGCUAAGGAAGCUGCUGCGAAAAUGGGCAGCUCAGUAAGUUUUAAGUUAUGGUGUGCUUAACUUUCAAUAUCUGUAGCUAUAUCUCCUGGAGCACACAACAUACAAAAUUUUGCAGAUAGCUUUGUAGCUGUAGAAAGCAGCUUGCAAAGAUAAAACAUUCUUGAAGCUUCUGCAAGGCUAAGUUUGCUGUUGAGCAAACUCUGUGUCCUUUAGAUCAUUACCCAGUAUUGCUCCAUUUCUUAAUUUGUUGCAGCCAUUUUCAUCCAUUUGCGUGCAAUGUUCACUUUGUAUUGAAGGAAGUUAGUUUCUAAAUAUUGGGUAACUAUCUUUGACGCCAAAAACUUGAGGCGUCCAGCAAGAGCGCGGGGAAGUCUUGGCUGACUAAGUCACCAUUGGGUAACGUUUAGCAUCCGAUUGGUUGAGAGGAUUUGGCGAGUUUUCUAGACCAAUCACAGGGCGUAGUUAAGCAAGAGCAAUGCAGACCUGGAUUCCUCUCGACAGUCAGUUAUAACUUUCUGGGUGUCAGCCUUAGUGACCAGGCCUGAAAGACUUGACCGCAUGCAUUGAAUUUAUUAUUGUAUAUUGACAUUUAAUAAAAACAAACAAUC